UUGCUCAUUAAUGUCUCUUCAUACUGUCUUAGUAACCCCCAUCAGGACUUAAACAUGGGACUUCUUAUCAGCUAAAAUAUCUCUCACUUGAUGGCCCCCUUAAAGGUGACACUGCCAUUCCAAACACCUAUUCCACUUCCUCCACACAAGAACAGUGCUUUUUCCUCUCCUACAUAUCUCACUUCCUAGCUAGGACAUCUUGUUCACCAAGACCAAAGUUGCCUUGAAUACCUCCAUGAAAUAAUUCGGAAGCCUGAAUCUUCACAGCCCCCAACUCAAUUUCCUGUCCUCGUCCCUCUCUGUAAAGGCAUUCAAGAAGGGAGAGAACACGUUCACUCUUUAAGCAGAAGACAAAUUACAAGUUCCAGAUCUCUAAAAGAAAGGCUUUAGAGAAUGGAUGCAGCUAUACCAAGACCAGUCUUCACAAUGACAAAGCAGGCAAUCUCUGAUUUGUUAUGACUGAAGGAGACCAGGAGGAUGUGCCUUGCCUCCAACACAACCAGAGGCCACGUGACUAGAAGUGCCAUGCUAAAGACUUUUUUUUUCUUUAAGCAUUUCUCUGAGUAGCUACCCUUAAAAAUUCAAAUCUACCCUGGAUGAAUAACAUCAUAAAUUGUCACCAGUUUGAUUCAGUCAUGAAUUUAUUAACCAAAACAGAUUCUUCUGAAAUGAGAAAUGCAGGAAAGGGUACACAGUGAGGCCCCAGUGUGUCAUUGAGGAGACUGAUGCAAGAAAGGAAAGUGGGGGCAUCAGUCAUUGGAAAUAAAUUUCUACUUCUUCACCCACAAAGACCUUCGAUUCUUCAGAGUCUAAUUCUGGCUUAACUUUAG